CCCGGCGCGCAAGCGUCACUCCCACCUGAAUAUAGUAGGGUGGGUAGAGCGAACGCAGCGAACUGAAACAUCUAAGUAGCUGUAGGAAAAGAAAUCAACCGAGAUUCCCAAAGUAGUGGCGAGCGAAAUGGGAAGAGCCUGUAUGUGAUAGUCAACUGGUUAGUGGAACGGAAUGGAAAGUCCGGCGAUAGAGGGUGAUAGCCCCGUACACGAAAACUGGUUGGUGGUACUGAGCAUACGACAAUUAGGGCGGGGCACGAGAAACCUUGUCUGAACAUGGGGGGACCAUCCUCCAAGGCUAAAUACUCGUAAUCGACCGAUAGUGAACCAGUACCGUGAGGGAAAGGCGAAAAGAACCCCGGGAGGGGAGUGAAAUAGAACCUGAAACCGUGUGCAUACAAACAGUGGGAGCGGACUUGUUCCGUGACUGCGUACCUUUUGUAUAAUGGGUCAGCGAC
rnacentral:rRNA from 1 species